ensembl:lncRNA
CUGGCGUGGAAGUGUCAGAUCAUGAAUCACUAGCGUGAGAGUCUCCUCAGUCUGCAGCCAAAGACGCCACCCACAGGGUUAAAAGGCAGGAACUACCGAUUAAAGCAGCAGAAGGGAUGUGUCUCAGAGACAACAGGCUGCGGGAAAGAAGUCAGAGCACCUACACGGUGACCCCACGCAGACAAAGCUGCGGGACAGGUGCAACUAGUCCAUGAUGAAAAAAAACUGUCACCUCAAAUUUGGGGCUGGAACAUGGGGGUGUGACUACCUGGGAAGGGCACCUGGAAACGUUCAGAGAUGAGGGAAAGGUUUUACAUCUUGAUCAGGGUUGGAGCUCUGGUUAUAUUUUUAAAAUGCACAAACCGUACACUGGAUCUAUUCAUUUCAUGGGCUAGAAAAUUGGCCUUUUAAAAAGAACGAUACAUGGAGAUGGGAGUCCACUUAACGCUUGAUAUGCAGGCGGAAUCCUGACGGCUACCACUUCCUUUGACAUGAAUUUAAAGUAGGAUGAACCAAGGGAGUUCCCAUCGUAGCUCAGUGGUAAUGAACCUGACUAGUAUCCCUGAGGACGUGGGUUCGAUCCCUGGCCCCACUCAGUGGGCUAAGGAUCCAGCAUUGCCGUGAGCUGUGCCUGCCCUAACAAUGCAACACUGCUCACUGCCAUCAACAAAGACUGUGAUAAACCCUUUUCGCUGCUUCUGCAGAAAAAGGGAGGGGCAGUGUAUACUUGGGGCAAUGGAAGACAGCUAAUCUCCCUUCUCCUGCAGAAGAAAACCGAUAGACAACAUCGCAAAUAAAAGUCGAUUCAUAGCAGGAUAAUGAUAUAUUUAGAAACAUAUACCAGAACAAAUAAUAAGAGGAUUGAAAGCAAGUAGUAGGACUGAGAUAGGACGUGGCAUUUUCAUCAUAAGCACUUAUUAACCAUUUCCAUAAACAUGUACCUCUAUGGAUUUGAGAAAAAGGUUCUAGUGGAGUUGGGAUUUUGGCAGAAUGUAUUUUGAUUUUCUACUUAAUCUGGAUUCAGUAAUGUCCCAAGCUUUACUUUACAUGUUUCAAAACAAACAAAAGUCAGCUUCUAAAUUUAUCGCAUUGAGGCGGACAAAGAUUAAACUGCAUUCUUGCUGACUGUCGAUUCCGGCUGCUGUGACGAAAUGCCGCUGACCGGGCAGCUUACUAACCACAGGCAUUUCUUUCUCACGGUUCCAGAGGGGUCCAAGAUCAAGGCGUGGGUACGGGCGGGUGAGGGCCCUCUUCCUGGUUCACAGUGUGUGUCUCUCCCCGCCUCCGCCCCCCGCCCCCGAGUUCACUAGGUGGAAGAGGCAAGGGAGUCUCUCGAUAAGGUCUAUGGGGUCUCCUGAAAAGGCACUAACCCCAUUCACAUGGGCUGCACCCUCGCGACCUCAGCACCUCCAGAGGCCACACAUACUAAUGUCAUCACAUUGGGCCGUAGGAAUUCAACAUAAGAACUUGGGGAGGUGGGCACAGGAAACAUUCAGUCCGGGGCACCCACCUUUCAAUCCAUUUGUGAAUUGGUGUUCUAGGGCUAUGUUCAUGGAGAUAAGGUGCUUCCCUAGGCUUGGAGAUUCAAACGAGACCUAGUGUCUCAGACUAGGAUCAAUCAGGCAGAUUUUAGGGUCUAAACAGUCUGUAACUGCCUAACUGCCCCCAAAUCCCAACCCGAUGCUACCUUUGCUUGUCCAGUACUGCACUGAUUAGUUUCCAUCCCAGUUUCUCCAUCAGUGGGACUAAGGAAGGGCCUGAGUAGCCACGAUGGGCAAAUAAACAGCCGCAGAAGAAAUACUGCAUCAGUCUGUACACCAGGCACUGCCCUGGGCCCCAGAGGCAUAGCGAUCUGAUUGGGAGAUAUUAAUUUCAGUACAUUGCGGCUCACGCUAAAAUAAAAAUACACACAGAGUGGGGUGGAUGCCUGAGUAAGAGACACAACUAUCUUGUGUCUCUUAUCUUAUCUGGCUAUCCUGAAGAAGGUAUGAUUAAGGAUUAAGAGAUUAAGAAUCAAAUUAAGGGAUUCAGGCAGGUUUAGACCAUGAUCCCUGGGGCCAGACAGACCCCAGCUCUGAUCCCAGCCCUGUCAUUUAUGGAACCAGUGGUAAAUCACUUAAUCUCUCCAGGCUUUCAUUUCCACACCCGCCAAAUGGGUUAAGAGAAUGUAGGCAAUGUGCCUACAGAAUAGCAGAGACUCAAACAUGCCUCUGACUCUGAAAACCAUUUUCAUCCCUAGAGACAGCUACACGCGGACCAGGAUGGAGGCUGCUAGUCCUUCCAGAGGGAACAGACAGCGGAGGGCUUCCAAGGAAAAGGCCCUGCUCCUCCCGCCUUGACAGAGACGGAAGGAAAGAGGGGCCCGCAGCGUUCGAUCGGGGAAAGAACAGGUGUUAUCGUUUGGAAGGAGAGUGGGGAUGUGGCAAAAUCCAGAGUGGAGACUGGGUGUGGGGUGUCUGGGAAAAGAAGUGUUACAGACACGCCUUCAGUUUUUCAUCUCAUCAGUGAAGGAAUUGGUUGCAUCCCAAGAACAGCACUGAGCAUGGAGAGAGAGGGUUAGGCCCUUAGAGGACAUGGAGACAGAAACAAAGACCGAGAAGCAGGUGGGCCGCUGAAGGUCAGUGGGGAUCAACAGUGUCUAGGAUAAGAGCCAUUUUUUUCCUUUACUCAGAACGCAGUUUCAAUCGGGAAUUUUUCUUUGAUGUCCAUGGGGGGUCAAGAUAAUUUCUAAUUCAGUUUUCCAUGGGGAGCCUUUGGUGGCGGAGGUAGUCCCAGCUUCAGUGACGGGGCCUCCUAUGAAACAGUGCAUCUCAGGCAGCCCAAGGGCCAUGUCUUCUGCCUCUUGAAGCUGGCAAACAAAAGCUUUAGGUCACCAAGGUCCAGUAAAUAU